rnacentral:lncRNA from 1 species
CAGCAUCCUGUCAGGAGGAGGACCAGGGCUGCGUCUCAAUAGUCUGAAGCAGCUUCAUCUCCUCAUCUCCUCUCCUCAUCUCCUCUAAUUUCUCUCUCCUUUAUGAACCAACUGGGCAGAUGAAUCCGUACGUUUGCUAGCAUCCAGUAAAAUAUAUUGUUUUCAGCACGUUGAUUCUGAGUCACGAGGAAUCAGUGCAGAUGAAGGAGAGGAGACAAGGGGAAGGAAGUCACUGUUGAGACAGCCCAGCUAAGGUGUUUGUGGUCUGUGACUCAAUUCCUGUCAGAGAGACACGGAAGAGAAAAAUACUUUCUUGUCUUCGCUUGUCACGGACUUGGUUCUGCCAUCAGAGGCAGACGGAUCUAUUGAUAAAUCAGCAAUAUGGCAUCGAACUUCAUUCCCCUUUAUAUCCUGGGUGUGGUACUGAUCCUCUACAUAGUCAAAGCAGACGAGUAUAAUAAAACAGGGCUCGACGACAACGAUGGCAGUGACCCCAUCCCCACUACCACCCUUACUGCCACUCCUGCUACCCCCUCAGCCGCUCAGAACAAUCCUACAGUUACUACCUUGGUCCAGCCAGACUACCGUGACUCUAACCUUACCAACAACAUCACCGUCGGCAGUAGAGAUGGCAACCAAACCCAAGACCAGAACCAGAACCAAGACCAGAACGAAGAUGUGGGUGUUGGAACCUCGCGGGACGACGUGACAACGGUUGCCGCGGAAACCACGCCGUCGGGGGCGACCAACGGCCGAUCUGAGGAAGUGCAACUUGACGGUACCGUGUCGAAUGACGCGAUUACAACAUCAUCACCAGUGCUGAUAGAAUCUACUGGAAGAGGAAGCAGUGCUACAGCAGGCUAUGUAAUCCUGUUCCUCAUAUUGUUAGUCAUUGUCUGUCUGGUGGUGGUUCUCUAUUUCCAGAGGAAGAAGUCCAGGAAGUAUUCGUUUGACCUUGCGGGUAACGAUCACGACACCCCCCUCACCUGCGUGGAACAAGCCGGAACCUUCGAACCCAACGAGAAAGCCGGAGGUUUUGACUACGUGAUAGAGAGCGGUGGUGAUGACCACCAGGCUAUGGGCCCUGUGGCCAAUGGCUCAGCUGGGGAGGCGAGGUCCGCUGGAGAGAACGGAGAGAAGCAGGGUCAUGGUGAUAGUGAUGGAGACAGCUUCGACAACUUCUGUGGCCAUGCGAUCACGCUGACUCCGACCGUAAAGAGGGUGGGCUUUAGCCUGGACAUGAGUGACAGGCAGUCGGACAAAUCAGACAACGGGGAGCAGAAUGGGAACAACAACAACGUUGCCGUGGGGAUGACCCCUGAGCCGCCGGGCCUGACCUUUGACCCUGUAGGUCCAGGUGACGUCUUCACUGAAAUCAGCCUGGAUAUAUAGAAGACGCACACACAUUGUUGUAAAAUUGUAAUGUUCUGUUGUGGUUGAUUUAUAGAUGAAUGUAAAAAGCUUCAAAUAACUUUUACAUCCCUAUUUUUUAUGCUGUAAAUUUUUGAUACCGUAAAUUUUUGAUACUGUAAGUUUUUGAUACCGUAAAUUUUUGAUACCGUAAAUUUUUGAUACUGUAAGUUUUUGAUACCGUAAGUUUUUGAUACCGUAAAUUUUUGAUACUGUAAGUUUUUGAUUCCGUACAUUUUUGAUACCGUAAAUUUUUGAUACUGUAAGUUUUUGAUACCGUAAAUUUUUGAUACCGUAAAUUUUUGAUACUGUAAGUUUUUGAUACCGUAAAUUUUUGAUACCGUAAGUUUUUGAUUCCGUAAAUUUUUUUCGUAUUUCAAGAUAAAAAACGAAUGUUUAUAGUUUUUUUGUUAUUCAUUUUAAUAAUGUCUUACGCAUUGAUAAUAAUCGCAGGAGACGCCAAGUCACACGGCGAUUGUUUUUAGAAUAAAACAUACUUCACAGAAUUCUAGGUGUUGUGUCUUGAUGUGAUGUGUUUGGGAAAUGUGUGGUAAAGUGAUGUGUGGAGGGGUAAUGUGUGGAGAGGUAAUCUGUGGAGAGGUAAUCUGUGGAGAGGUGAUCUGUGGAGAGGUGAUGUGUGGAGAGGUAAUGUGUGGAGAGGUGAUGUGUGGAGGGGUAAUGUGUGGAGAGGUGAUGUGUGGAGGGGUAAUGUGUG